UAAUACAUAACUCAAUUGGUAGAGUAGCUCCUUUUUUUAAUAGUUUUAAAUAGGAGAAGGUUAAUGGUUCGAGUCCAUUUGCAUUAA